UACGAAGGGGGCUAGCGUUGCUCGGAAUUACUGGGCGUAAAGCGUGCGCAGGCGGUUUUGUAAGCCAGAUGUGAAAUCCCCGGGCUUAACCUGGGAAUGGCAUUUGGGACUGCAAGGCUUGAGUGCGGCAGAGGAGACUGGAAUUCCCGGUGUAGCAGUGAAAUGCGUAGAUAUCGGGAGGAACACCUAUGGCGAAGGCAGCUCGCUGGGACGUUACUGACGCUGAGACGCGAAAGCGUGGGGAGCAAACAGG
rnacentral:rRNA from 1 species